ACAGAUCCGACGGUAAGGGACGAAGCCCUGGGGCGCGAACGGGAUUAGAUACCCCGGUAGUCCAGGGUGUAAACGCUGCAGGCUUGGUGUUGGGGAUCCUACGAGGGUGCCCAGUGCCGUAGCGAAGGUGUUAAGCCUGCCGCUUGGGGAGUACGAUCGCAAGAUUGAAACUUAAAGGAAUUGGCGGGGGAGCACCGCAACGGGUGGAGCGUGCGGUUCAAUUGGAUUCAACGCCGGAAAACUCACCGGGAGCGACUGUUAUAUGAAGGCCAGUUUGAUGAGCUUGCCUGAUUUUCAGAGAGGUGGUGCAUGGCCGUCGUCAGUUCGUACCGUAAGGCGUUCUGUUAAGUCAGAUAACGAACGAGACCCUCACCCUUAUUUGCUAUCCAUCCCUCCGGGGGUGGAGCACUAUAAGGGGACCGCUGGUGCUAAAUCAGAGGAAGGAGAGGUCAACGGUAGGUCAGUAUGCCCCGAAUCUCCCGGGCUACACGCGCGCUACAAAGGACGGGACAAUGAGUUCCGACAUCGAAAGGUGAAGGUAAUCUCCGAAACCCAACCGUAGUUCGGAUUGAGGGCUGUAACUCGCCCUCAUGAAGCUGGAAUCCGUAGUAAUCGCGUUUCAACAUAGCGCGGUGAAUACGUCCCUGCUCCUUGCACACACCGCCCGUCAAACCAUGCGAGUGAGGUCUGGGUGAGGGCGUGUUAUGACACGU
rnacentral:rRNA from 1 species